ACCACGGGAGUUGAAAACGUGGCUUCAUCACUCGGAUCUGAGAAGCUUGUGGCAAAUUACCUAAACCUGUGUCUCAGUUCCUCGUCUGUGAAGUGAGCAACGUAACCUACUUGGACCCAAACUGCCAAGUGUUCCAUUGCUUGGUACUGUCUCACAGGGAACAAACACCGGGCGGCAACACUUUUCCUGUCAUUGGCGCCAACACGGAGACAUCCAGGAUCCUAACGCUGAGACGGGCGCAGCCUUGCCGCAAAGCAGCACAACGUCACUGCCACAGGCCCAGCCAGCUGUGAUCUGUCCGACACGGGAGCUACAGUUGGGUUCUGAUGUUGGCGUCUACUGUGAACCAGGACACCACUCCCUCAGCUUUGAUCUGUGGGAACAGAGUCCUUCUUGUCUAAGAAGACUUAGUUCUUGGGGCCAGCGCUGUGGUACAGUGGGUUAAAGCCCCAGCCUGCAGUGCCGGCAUCCCAUAUGGGCACAGGUUGAAGCCCUGGCUGCUCCACUUCUGAUCCAGCUCUCUGCUAUGGCCUGGGCCCCUGAACUUGCAUGGGAGACCUGCAAGAAGUUUCUGGCUCCUGGCUUUGUAUCCACGCAGCUCCGGCCAUUGCAGUCAUUUGGGGAGUGAACCAGUGGAAUGGAAGACCUCUCUCUCUGUCUCCU